UCGGGAAUAUUGCGCAAUGGAGGAAACUCUGACGCAGUGACGCCGCGUGCAGGAAGAAGGUUUUCGGAUUGUAAACUGCUUUAGACAGGGAAGAAAAGACAGUACCUGUAGAAUAAGCUCCGGCUAACUACGUGCCAGCAGCCGCGGUAAUACGUAGGGAGCAAGCGUUGUCCGGAUUUACUGGGUGUAAAGGGUGCGUAGGCGGCAAAGCAAGUCAGAUGUGAAAUGUAUGGGCUCAACCCAUGAACUGCAUUUGAAACUGCAUUGCUUGAGUGAAGUAGGGGCAGGCGGAAUUCCCUGUGUAGCGGUGAAAUGCGUAGAGAUAGGGAGGAACACCAGUGGCGAAGGCGGCCUGCUGGGCUUUAACUGACGCUGAGGCACGAAAGCGUGGGUAGCAAACAGGAUUAGAUACCCUGGUAGU
rnacentral:rRNA from 1 species